UACGUAGGCAGCGAGCGUUGUUCGGAAUUACUGGGCGUAAAGAGUGUGUAGGCGGUGCUCCAAGUCUGUUGUGAAAUCUCCCGGCUUAACUGGGAGGGUGCGGCGGAAACUAGAGUGCUAGAGGGUGGGAGAGGUAAGCGGAAUUCCUGGUGUAGCGGUGAAAUGCGUAGAUAUCAGGAGGAACACCUGUGGUGUAGACAGCUUACUGGACCACUUCUGACGCUGAGACACGAAAGCGUGGGUAGCAAACAGG
rnacentral:rRNA from 1 species